rnacentral:lncRNA from 1 species
UUGUGCCAGUACCAUACUGUCUUGUUGACUGUAGCUUUGUAGUAUAGUCUGAAGUCAGACAGGUUGGGAAUACUGCCAUAGAUUUAAUGUGAGGUUUUUCAACUCAAGGAGGAAGAAAAGUUUUCAUUCAUUUGAAAUUCUUUGGUUACUUACUAGGCUGUGGCUAUUUCUUUUUCUUAUUUUUCUCUUUUUUUUCUUUUCUGUAUCUCUUCUUCCUCCCUAUUUUAUUUGGAUUUUUCUCAUCCAUCACGUCUCUUAACUACAUUUUGUUUAAACUACUAUAGAGAUUAUUUGUUUUCUACACUGACUUUACCAUUAGUUUGUGAUUAUAUUAAAGCAUAGUCCUUUUGCUGUUCUGGGUUUCCAGAGACUUAAUUUUGUAAUCUGCAAACAGAGUUGUAGGAAUAAAAAGAGAAAAACAAGAGUCGAUGAGAAACAACAUUGCUGGACUAGAGAAGAGUAUUGCUUUAGACCAUGUGUACAUACACUAUCAAGAUGAUGGCUGCAUUCCCAGUGUCAAAUACAAGAGUACCUGACACAUGGUAGGAGCUUGAUAUUGAAUAAUGAGUGAGUGAGUGAAUAAAUGAAGAUGUGUUGGAAAGAUUUGAGGUAGGAUCUUAUUCAAUGGAAAGAUUAGGAAUAAAGAGAUGAGGAAAUAAAUCACAAAGUUAUGAUAAUAGCUGUGUUCUUUAAUAUUUAAGCUGAUCAUAGAUCUUGGUUUCUAUAUAACAUCCUCCAAUAAAAUGAAGCAGGAAAUUUUUGGAGGAAAUACAAGAUGAGUUUGGAAUAUUAUGUAGUGCCAGAAAAUAAUGAAGUGUUGAGUGGCCGUAAGUGCAGACUGAACUUAGUGGCUCUCAUCUAAUAGACAAAAUAUGGAAAGCGAAAAAUAGUAACUGUAAUAACAGGAGAUACCUGACAGACACUCCCUUUACCUAGUGAUCAAGAUUAAUAUCACCAGUAGUAUAUGUUGACCUUAUAGACUCCCUGACAUGAUGCAAUGAGAAAUACAUCUCUCUUUGGGGAUAUUGUUCUAUGAGAUCUGUAAACUCUACCUAAUCAUGGGAAAAUAUCAGAUAACCUAAAUUGGGGGGCAGUGAGAGA